GAAAGUUUAGGUCAGGUGAUUUUCUUGAGAGUUUUUUCUAGUCUAUUCAAUUAUCUUUGAAUAUAAUACUUUUGUCAGUUAAGCUGAAUGGUUGCAUUUCCUAUAUACUGUGAUAUUUCUUUUUAUGGGACUUUAAUCAUUGCAGUGCAGUUACCUGAUGUGUUGAUUGGUCGUGCUGGUCUGGUACCACAUAUUGGACUAUAAUUUACAGUGCCAUCAAUACAAUAUUGAAAACAACGAUUGUGUUUUUCUUUAUGGUUACUUGGAACCCGGUAACAUAAGAGGAAGGGGGGUGCAACGGACUAGAUCGGGAUUCGAACGCGGGCCCCUGGAAUAUCUAGUCAGGUGCUAUUUGGCCACCGGCGAUCGAACCACACUGUAUCUGACCACCACACCUGGAUUACUGUGAAUUACAUGUGUGUAGGUCUUUGCCAUAUAAAUAUGGAUAAUGUAUUGCAUUUACAUUUUAUUGGGAUAUUUCUUUAGGAAAUCAACAUGCCCUAUUGAUGACAGCAUCGUAAUAAGUAUGAUGCUCAUAAUAAAUAAACCCAAUCGAAUAAGUUAUGGAAUUCAAAACUACUUGAAAUAGGUGGGAAAACCUCAUAACUUUGCCCCCUCCCAUUUCCUUAUAAUUCAGGAGUAGUGAGUACCUGUAGUCCUUGAAUAUGAAAGUACAAACACUAAAUGAAAAUAAUGACAACCCCCCCAAUACUGAUAUUACCAUAAUAGAAUUACCCAUCGUCGUCGUAUUUGGUUUUACAUUUCUUGAAGUAAAAUAUUACAGUACAUGUAUACCCACAUGAUUUUAGUCUUAAAUAUCUUAUCAAGGCUUUAUACAUUUUUAAUUCAGUAACAUAAAUUCUACAGAUGGGUAGGUUUAUACACCUGAGGUCGACAUUGUGACAAUACCUACACUUUCAAAUCCGGAAGAGGUUC